rnacentral:rRNA from 1 species
GAUGAACGCUGGCGGCGUGCCUAAUACAUGCAAGUCGAGCGAACGGACGAGAAGCUUGCUUCUCUGAUGUUAGCGGCGGACGGGUGAGUAACACGUGGAUAACCUACCUAUAAGACUGGGAUAACUUCGGGAAACCGUAGCUAAUACCGGAUAAUAUUUUGAACCGCAUGGUUCAAAAGUGAAAGACGGCCUUGCUGUCACUUAUAGAUGGAUCCGCGCUGCAUUAGCUAGUUGGUAAGGUAACGGCUUACCAAGGCAACGAUGCAUAGCCGACCUGAGAGGGUGAUCAGCCACACUGGAACUGAGACACGGUCCAGACUCCUACGGGAGGCAGCAGUAGGGAAUCUUCCGCAAUGGGCGAAAGCCUGACGGAGCAACGCCGCGUGAGUGAUGAAGGUCUUCGGAUCGUAAAACUCUGUUAUUAGGGAAGAACAUAUGUGUAAGUAACUGUGCACAUCUUGACGGUACCUAAUCAGAAAGCCACGGCUAACUACGUG